rnacentral:rRNA from 1 species
GACGAACGCUGGCGGCGUGCUUAACACAUGCAAGUCGAACGAUGAAGCCGGAGCUUGCUCCGGUGGAUUAGUGGCGAACGGGUGAGUAACACGUGAGCAAUCUGCCCUUGACUCUGGGAUAACUGCGGGAAACUGUAGCUAAUACCGGAUACGACACCUUGGGGCAUCCCAGGGUGUGGAAAGAAUUUCGGUCAAGGAUGAGCUCGGGGCCUAUCAGCUAGUUGGUGCGGUAAUGGCUCACCAAGGCGACGACGGGUAGCCGGCCUGAGAGGGUGACCGGCCACACUGGAACUGAGACGCGGUCCAGACUCCUACGGGAGGCAGCAGUGGGGAAUAUUGCACAAUGGGCGAAAGCCUGAUGCAGCAACGCCGCGUGAGGGAUGAAGGCCUUCGGGUUGUAACCCUCUUUUAGCAGGGAAGAAGCGAAAGUGACGGUACCUGUAGAAAAAGCACCGGCUAACUACGUGCCAGCAGCCGCCGCAG